rnacentral:lncRNA from 1 species
AUCAAAGUAGCUGUCCUAUUAAUUCAAUGAAUCAAAGGAAAUUUUUAGGCAGCAACUGGUCAAGGGAUAACCCGGUCAUUAGCAAAAAGUAGUUGGAUAAAUACAUCUGACUUUAGCGGUGUAAUUAGUGCAUCAGCAUAGAGCAGGAAACAUGGCUGCUGUUAACAGUGUUCGGGUUAUGGCUUUUCUUCUGUGUGGUAUGCGCUACUACGCCCUUUACGAAAGGUUUUAGAGUUUUUAAUUCGUAUAUCUCCCAUGAACCAAUUAAGAAACUGAUUUUGGUAUUGGAGUAAGGAUAUUAAAUCAUUAUUCCAAUCACAAAUUUUAGUAAAUGAAUCAGUUCAGUAUUAGUGUUAUAAUUAACUUAUGCGUCGCAUGCUCUUGUUCUGUUUUUUCUUGUGUGAAGCAACUUCCUGGAGAAUCUUAAACAUAUGUUCUUAGUUAUCACUUACCCUAUCCCACGAAUUCAAUGGCGGAUCUAGAAUUUACAUUUAAUACUGAACAAUAGAGAUGAACCAGGCAUGGACGAGUUUUGAAGCAGCUUUUGUCAGGUCAUCCUUUGGCCUUGCCUGGACUCCAGGCACACCUGAUGACCUGAACACGCUCGUUGAUGAGCCAGGCGAUGCGUAGAUGUGUCAGGCCUAUGCACUUUUACAAAUCCUUUUUGAAUCUAAAAUGAAAAAAACUGUAAUUUUCUUUAAAAUUUUGAAACCAAAUGGCUAUUUGCAGCAGUUUUUUGGCUCACAAAGCCAAGCUCGGCAGGGCAAAAAGGCCUUUCCUAUCUUUUGAGUUUUGAACAUAACGACACUUUGUUAAUAAAAUGAAAAGUUUUUGUGACGAGGCUCAAGACCUUUCAGCCAGGUCCCAAGAGCUGUUGGUCAGACCCGUGUGUGCAGGUACACAUGAACUGCAGACAGAUUUUGAUGCCUCUGAUACAACAAAGGUAGGAGGCACGUUUGAGAGGGUUAUUAAAGAAUUCUUGUAUUUCACAUCAGACUAUAAUUUUGAGUCCCAUGAAUUGCACCAGUAACAAAAUCAACUUGUAAUUAAAUUUAUAUAGUAAUGUAGUCCUAACUGAACAAAAAGACGCAACUCGGACAUUUUUGGGUACUCAUUCAUGGAACAUGUUUUUUUUAUUUUCUGAAAACAGGCAUGUUUCUAUUCGGUGUCCUAAUGUUCCCAGCAAUUGAGGCAUGUCCACUAUAUUGCUAUGAAGUAGAAUCCAUGACUUGCAACGGCACAAAAGUCAAUCCACCGCGUUGCAACUGUUGCCUGGCCGGAAAGGGCUGUACCCUUCACCUUGCCAAUGGAGUGUCAAUAUAUUGUUAACUAGUAAACGAGCUUGCUAAUGUUGUGGCUUAAGUAACAUGCCUAAAUAAUCAAAAUAUUUCUGAAGUUGUGUAGAAUCUUAUGGACUACAAUGUAUUGAAUAAGUUUGGUCAAUAAAGUCUAUUUAAGUUACAAGAAGUUUUUACUAUUCAUGUUUGCAUAAUCCUGAAAAAAAAAAUUAAAAGUACUUUUUGGAAGGUAAAUAAAGAUUUGCUCUUGAAAAAGUAUAACAUUGAACUAAGAAGUUACUUUUACAUUUUUCUAGCAAGAAAUGGUGGGGAAUUGCUACAAAGAAAAAAAUUGAGGACGUGGUUGUUCUCUUUUAAUAUGUUGGAUCCCAUCGGUAAUUUUCUCCUCCAAAAAACGGAGACCAAUAUAAUGUUGUCAAAGUGAAAAUAGUAAAAAAAUAAAUAAAUAAGCGAGUCCACUACUACUGUGGUGUGAACUUAGUUCAUUUAUGCUGCGGCCUUGUAGAAUUACCUGAUAAAAAUAUUAUUUCAGGUUUGACAAAAACUCUUGCUGAAUCUUAAGUAUCCCUUUAAACAUCCUUAUCAAUCUUAAUCGAUUAUUUUAAUUUCUAGUUUUGAAUUUGGAUCAAGUUGACUUUGAAUAGGCACCGGGUCUUCUUUUUAUUUAAAUAUAUAUGUAACGUGUCAUUCAUGUGCAGACUAGAUUCAUUUUUAAAUAAGGUUUAACAUAUAUAAAGUUUUCACGAAUAAGUAAUGGUGAGACUUGAACUCGGGACAUUUAUUUGUAAACGUAUCCGGUUAAAAGCUUUCAAAUGAGGUUUCAUUUGAAAGAGAACAUCGAUAUCAUGUUCACGUUUUGCUACUAUUCAUUAAUGAAAAUUGUGAGUAUACCAAACCUUUAAUAUCUUAAACUGGGUUAAGAAGACUCGUAAACUUUAUUUAAUAAUUAGAUCAUUUUUAGUUGCUUGUUUUGAAUGUUAAGAGGAUUGGAUUUUGACUAGACACCAUCUAUUAGAUAUCUUUACAUAUUAUUUUCUACUAAGUAUGUUAUAAUAUCAUUAUGAAUAGUAUAAGCUGGGCUUGCUUCAGGGAUAUAGCAUAACUAAGAGUUAAGGAAGCAUGGCUGGUAUCAGAGUGGGGUUUGUGACUCUUUGUUUCUGCGGUAUGCCCUUAGGAACAUUGCAUUCUAAAAGAAGGUUUUACAAAAGUUCAACACUUCACCAAUUAUAGAACUUGUUUGUUCUAAAGUAGGUACCCUUGUAUCUUGCAGAUUACUUGUCUUCAUAUACAAAAAAUGUCUACAAAAAAUAAAAAAAUAAAAAAAAAACCCACUAUGCAUCAUUCCUUAUUAAUUUGGGUCGACUACAAGAAGUUUACAGAAGUGGUAUUUUUAAGUCAUCUACCAUAAAAUCAGACCUUGAUUACCUCCCAGAUUGGGCAUUUAAUUCUUGGAUUAUGCAGUUGAAAGAAUAUCAUAUAUAUGCUCUAGAAUCUCUUUCAUUAUGUUCCCUUUGGAGUUUUGCAAGAAGUCAAAGUAAUGCUUUCAACAUGAGAAGGAGCUUUUUACCUUACGCUUCAAUAGAAUGAAUUCAGUAAGGGUAGAAUACGCCCAUACAAUUCACGUGCUCCCUCAAGGUGAAUUAUUUAUUACAAGGGCAUGUUGAGUACUCCGUAAAUGCAUUGGGUCAUCUCAAUAUUCGUUCUCAAUAAAUUCUUGAAGGGGAAAUUAAGUUUUUGUAUUUAUAAGUAGCAUUAGAUUCCACAAUCUUCUUAUCUGUGAUAGUGCAAACAUUCAACAGUGAAGUGGAAAUAGUUCUCAUAAGAUAUUUUCUUUUUUGGGGGGCUUGUGACAGCAAUGCUGGUAAUAGGUCGCAAUCUGGAACAUGCAAAUGCAAAAACUUGCCCACAAAUUUGCUCAGGCGUUGCUGCUUACACUACAUGCCCAUCUUCCGGUGAUGAGAAGCUUACUCCGGCGUGCAACUGUUGCUUUCUUCAAACAGGUUGCAAACUUUUCAUGGCUGAUGGAACUUUACUUUGCACUGCAAACUAAUGAAGUAUAAAGAAACUAGCCUAAGGGGAAUGGAACAUGUAAAGCAAAAUUAAUUGUGUGUAAUUUUCUGUGUUAUGUAAUAAAAUUGCUUCUUUUUUGUGUAAUUUUCUGUUUGAAACAAGAUGUUAUCUCAUGAUUUCUUGCUUUUCCAAGUAUUUAUUCAUCUUUAGAAAACAAUCUUCUGUGUUUUACUCUCA